rnacentral:rRNA from 1 species
UACAGAGGGUGCGAGCGUUGUUCGGAAUCAUUGGGCGUAAAGCGCGUGUAGGCGGUUCCGUAAGUCCGCUCUGAAAGCCCAGGGCUCAACCCUGGGAGGCGGGUGGAUACUACGGAACUGGAGUACGGAAGAGGAGAUUGGAAUUCCUGGUGUAGCGGUGAAAUGCGCAGAUAUCAGGAGGAACACCAACAGCGAAGGCAGAUCUCUGGGACGUUACUGACGCUGAGACGCGAAAGCGUGGGGAGCAAACAGG